ACUAAAGCAUGAACUAAACUCAGAGCAUUUCCUAAAAUGAUCUAGAAUAUCUGCAGUGCUCUCUUAAAUGAAAUACACAUUUUUGAACAAAUUUAAUGUAUUCUCGUGUUGUGUCGUGUGUGUUGUGAAACGCUCUUACUUGUAAACAAACAGUAAACAGUGAACCACACGCCCAUCAACAAGUUUUCUUCCUUCUGUUCUUCAAAUGUAUAUUUUUGCAAGCCCACGUCUCUGUGUCUAACAGGUUGCGCGCAUGUUGCUGUGUCUGACGAACAGGUCGCGCGGGUGCGCGCAAAUGGCGGGCAUUUAUCAUUGCUGGCAAACAAUAUGACACAUUUGCAGUUUUGAUUGUAUAGAUAUAGAUUAAUAUCCACUUCAUCCAACGCUUUGUGUUCUGCGUGUUCUUAAGUUUCACGCUACGAGGAGUGAGUAAUCCUGCUUCAGAUGAUUCAGAUCGUGCUGCGAACGAUCAAGAAAAUGCACAGUUCUUACAAAGGAGACGUGAAAAACAUGAUGUGUGAGCGAUACAGCGACUGGCGGGUUUGUUCUUGUUGUGCGUCAAGAAGCUUGUAUUUCACGUGGCAUAAAGUCUGCUCUCUGUGUAGUAGGGUUAUAUGUCCUGCGUGUUGUGUGGAGAUGAGUCUGCCCUCCAAGUGAAACCGUGACAGAACGAAAGAGCCACAAACGAACCCAGUAGGCAGCCAUGGACGCCGCAACCACUCCCCGGUGGUCCUGCACCUCCAACCUGGUGAGGUGGGAGUCGAUAGCCUCCCAGUCACACGCUGGAGGUGGCCCGUUCCCGGCCCAGCGCCGUCUUCCUCUGCAGGACUAUGCCCGGAAGGUCGAGGCCAGGAGGGCCUCCGUCCCCGAGG